UACCAGCACCCCGAGUGGUCGGGACGUUUUAUUGGGCCUAAAGCAUCCGUAGCCGGUUCUACGAGUCUUCCGUUAAAUCCAACUGCUUAACAGGUGGGCUGCGGAAGAUACUAUAGAGCUAGGAGGCGGGAGAGGCAAGCGGUACUCGAUGGGUAGGGGUAAAAUCCGUUGAUCCAUUGAAGACCACCAGUGGCGAAGGCGGCUUGCCAGAACGCGCUCGACGGUGAGGGAUGAAAGCUGGGGGGAGCAAAC
rnacentral:rRNA from 1 species